UUAUGUAAAGUCUAGCCUGCCCAGUGAUAAUUGAAUUUAACGGCCGCGGUAGCAUGACCGUGCUAAGGUAGCAUAAUCAUUUGUCCUUUAAUUGAGGACUGGUAUAAACGGCUGCACAAGAAAUUGUCUGUCUCUACUAUAAAAUUUGAAAUUCACAUUUAAGUGAAAAGGCUUAAAUGGAAUAGGGGGACGAUAAGACCCUAUAAAUCUUUACAAUUUAGGGCUUUAGUUAUUAGAAAGUAGUUAUGGAUCUAAAUCUAAGAUUUAAAUUGUUUUGUUGGGGCGACAGAAGUAUAAUAAGUAACUGCUUUGGUUUUCAUAUUAAUUGUUUUUAUUAUGGUUAGUUUAAAAGAUCCUCUUUUGGAGAUCACAGACUAAGUUACUUUAGGGAUAACAGCGUAAUCUUUCUUGAGAGUUCAUAUCGAAAGAAGGGUUUGCGACCUCGAUGUUGAAUUAAAGAACCUUUAUGGUGUAGCCGCUAUAAGAGGA
rnacentral:rRNA from 1 species